rnacentral:lncRNA from 1 species
CCACAACCAAACAACAUCUAUUAAAAGUCAAUAAUGCCUAACAUGAAUUUGUUUAGCAAGAAUGGAAAUAAAGAGGCUUGUCUGAGUCAAAUGUGAAAAACAAGUUCACCAUCAUAAGUUUCACACAUAUACCAGGGUCUUGAUGCAACAGUAUGGCCAUUGUUACUCUAAUCAAUGAAGGAAAACAUCCACCAAGGAAAAUGAAUUCCUUUAUAAAAUUUGAGUUUCUUCUAUACUCAUCGUGCCUUUCAACUGGGAUUGAUAUGAAUUAAGGAAAAAAGAAAAAUCAAACACCCUUGGCUGUUGGAAAAAACUAUUAAUCUUUAUAAGAAGAAAGACAUUUAUAUUUUGAUCAACAAUAUAAUUAAAUCCCACCCUUCCAUAUGCUCUACAUCCAGUCUAUUAGAAUGUGGUAUUUGCAGAAUAAUUCCUUUGCCUUUCCCAGCAAAGAAAAUCAACUAGAGAAGACAGAAUCAUAGAUUCAGCUGUAGCGCAUCAACUGAAUGCGGCUCAUGACAACCCAAAAGAUUGGUUUUGAAUCCAUGGAUACAGGUCCUUUUAAUACCUUUGCAGCACCAGUGCUGCUGGGAAUAAUGUUGAAGGAGGCAGCUCUGCCACCUCUCCAAUCCUAAUGGUUUUCUAAAUCCAUGGUAGUUGUGGUACAUGUUUAGCUGGAACCAGAAAGAUUCAGUGAUAGAACCAUCCCUACAAUUAAUUUUAUUAUUAUUAUUAUUAUUAUUAUUUUUGUGUAACUAAUCAAAAGGGAAAGCAGAAACUUUAUUGGCAUGCAGAGUAACAUGUUAGAGCCAAUUAGAGAAGCUCUCAUUUUUUAUUGGACUGAGGAAGUGUUAGAAUCCAGGUUUAUUGUCCUGAUUUUUUUCCAUGUGACUUAGGUCAAGCAUGCCUCAAGUAUGAAGAUAGGUGGGCAACUAUCUCAGCAAGAUCAUGGACAGAAUGACCUUUAGCCUUGUUCUCAAACAGAGAAAGGAAAAAAAAACAGAAAAUUAAGACAAUCCCAAUAAUGAUGUAUUAGUUAAAUUACAGUUCUGUAAGAUUAGGUAAAACUUAUAGAUUUCCUUUUGUAUAUUUAUACCCAAAGUUAAAAAGUAAACAACUUACAUUUCAUGAUAACAACAAAAAUAGAAAUAGAAGUAUCUAUUUUAAAAAAACAAAAAGAAAUUGAGCAGAGUGUAUUAAUAUGUUACUAGUGCCUUAUUUUCUAGUACAUGAUGCAGCAUGCAUAACCUGCAGCCAAUUUUCUGAAAGCAACCUGCAGCCUUAUUUUCUACCACUUUCUAUACAAUAUAUUUAGCUAGAGAUCAAGAAUCAAAUGUCAGUUGUAUUAUAGCCUCGAAUUAUGUGGGUUAGGAUUUUAAAAAAUCGAGCUCCUUAACUCACAUGGGCAAUGGUACACUCACAGGGACGCUUUAUCCCUGCCAGAGAUACUGAUCAGUAGCUAUGAGGAGAUCUUGUGCAAUAUCCAAUAUAAUUUCUACAGAUCCAGUGUAUAUAAAUCUGUACAAAAAUAGCAUGUCAGUAAAUAAGAAAAGCUCAAGUCAAUUUGGAGAUGGAGCAGUGAUGCAAACAAGAUUUAAUUUCCAUCUGAGUUGUCCAAGGCCUAAUCUGGUUCUUGGUGUUAAACCUCAUUCAGAUAGAUCAGGAAUCAUUGUCCUUCUGCAAGAUAAAGCUAGAAGUAGAAGGUCUUCAAGUUUUCAAAGAUGAUAAACUAGAUAGAAUUGAAAAGGAGAAUAAUGGAAUCAAGGUGUAAUUUUUUCUUCUCUCUAAUACAAUAAGACAACAAUAGACAAUGCUAAACAAGUUAAAAUCUUAUUUAUUCAAAGCAAGUCUUCAAGGGGCAUAUUGUUUCAAAAGAAAAAGACAAAAUUUAAUGACAUUAAUCAGAAAUCUUCCAGAGUCAAAAGCCCCCAAAUGAUGUGACAAUCAUAUUCAAGUGUAUUGAUAUUUACCCACCUCACCAACAUUGCUCAUGGCAAAGAAAAGUGUCCCUGGAACAAGGAGUGUAUCACCAAUUAGAGGUUUCAAACCUUCUAAGAGACAAAUACAAGUUUGUGUGAUAGUGGAUACUGUACUAAUAAAUAAUAAUGUAAAAUUUUCAGUAAUGAAUUAGAAAAUGCCUCAAUGACAAAACAAAGCUCUAGUUCUAGAAUUUUCAGGUGGAUUAAGUCAUACUCUAUUUUGCUGAAUUUCAUGAUAGUUAUGCACUAAUUCUUGGAAGAUAAAGGUUUUUGGCACCAUAAAAAUAUGUCGCACAUAACAGUCUAUGCAUGCUUUAGACCUUUAAGUUCAAAAGAGAGAAGAGAUCAUGGUGAUACUGUUUUUGUCCAAAGCCUAGAUUCACAAACUUCCAUUUUCAAGGUUAUCUUUCACUAAAAAUUGCUACUUAUCUGUUUCUGUUCAUUUAUUCAUGAAAAAAAUCAUUAUAAUAAUUGAAUUGAUGAAUGGUAGGAUGAGAAGGGAGAGGAUUUUUACCUUUAGCUUUGAUAGGGUUUUCUAUCAUGGAUUUGAGCAAGUUGAUGUCUAUGAAUUUCUAACCCAGCCUUGUUUUUUUUUUUUUUUUUUUUGAUAGGUAAGAAAAGUUCAUGGUAAAUCAAAAUACCAAAGAACACGAUGAAACUUCAAAAAUUCAAAACCUAGAAUUUUCUUACAGGUAGUUUUAUUUGACUUAAAAAGAUAAAAAACCAUCUGUUUUUUUAAUUACAAUUUCUGCACAACUAAACAGCACAUUAACAAACAAAUGGACUAAAAAACACAGAUCUACAAUAACCAUGAAAGAAUCAUCAUCAAAAACUAAUUCCCCAAAACAAAGAAUCAGACCCGUGGAGAGAAUAAAUUAAAAACCAAAAAAGAACAAAUCAUAAAAAAUAAAAAAAUAAAACAAAAGGACUCGGACUAAAUUUUCUAAGAACCCUAUUAUUAUUCUUGGUUUAAACCAAAACCUACGAAUUUCAUCACAAUCAUCAAGAACCCGGAUUCAUAACUCACCUGUAGGGGGGCGAAAGUCUACCGAUCCCGGCAAGCAAACUCCCAAGAACCUGAUGCAAGUCCCUCUAUCUUGCAGCAAACCUAAAGACUCAGACCUCUCGUGCUUCUUCCGUGGAGAGAAUAAAUUCAAAAUUAAAAACCAAAAAGGAACAAAUCAUAAAAAAAUUUCCAAGAACCCGACUAUUUUUCUUGGUUUAAAGCAAAACCGACAUCAUCAAGAACCUGGUGGGAUUCAACUCACCUAUAGGACAGCGCAAGUCUGCCGAUUCCGGCGAGCAAACUCCCAAGAACCCUGAUGCGAGUCCUCUAUUUUGCAGCAAACUUAAAGACUCCGACCUCUCGUGCUUCCUCUCCUCUCCUUGAAGAAGUCCUUCCGAUCCCAAGGAAGUGGUUUUGACGGCAUGAAAACCCAGUCAAUCGCAUGGGCAGCCCCCCCCCCCCCCCCCCCCUAGCUUAAUCAGCCAACCACACAACCUUGACCCAAAUCUAAGGUUUCCAAAAUCCCACAACCACAAAACCACUACGCACUAAGCUGAUUCCCCGAGCUUCCACACCAAGAUCGAACCAAAUCACACCGUGCCCUAGCCUCUCGGCCAAUAAAACUCAAAAGUCCUCCGCCUUUCACUUCCCCUUCUUUCAAGUCUAUGGCUUCCGCCGCGCCCUAGAUUCCACUUCGGGGAGACGCCACCAUAGAUGAGACACAAAAGCCUCGUCUUCCUACCUCCUCCAGUUUCUUUCACUUUCUACACUACCAGGGGAAAAAAUUUGUUUUUGUUUGGAACGAGAAGGUGAGAUCGUGACGACAAUAAGGUACAUAAAAGAGAAGAGGAGAAGAAAAGAGGUGAAAGAGAGGAAAGUCUCAAGACUAAAGAAUGAGAAUGGUAUAUCUAUAUCAGAUAAUCAGCUUCAUUUAACCAGAAUUUAUAUAAUAUUUUCAUGUCCCAAUAAUUAAUUUCAUUUGUCCUAGUUUAUUUAUUUUCAAGGCCUAUUUAGCCAUGUUUUUUUAAACUUGGACACAAGGUAAUUUUUAAAUUUUGUUUUUAAAGAUCGUUUCAAAAUUAGAGAGAAAAAGAGUCAUGACUAAGAGUAUUCUGUUUAUUUGUUUCAAAAUUUUACUCUGGUUUUCGUUAGUGUGAAAAAAAUACACCAAUUAAUAAAAAAAUAAACUGCAAAUGAGGUAAUGCAAGAACAACUUAAUACCUUGCUAGGUUAUUAAUGAAGUAUGUCUCCAAUAUGGGUAAAUAAGAGACUAGUCCAAGCGUAGGUGCCAUGACAUUAUAUCUUAUAAUGAAGUCAUGCAUUAAAACCUGACAUGAUAAUAAGUUGUCAUAUUAGCACAUGAUAGAUGAAAAUAGAAUUAAAACAUUAGUAUAAACAAUACAUGUGACUCCACCAAACCUAUUGCAAACCUUUUCAACCACAACUUCCAUAUUUCUCCAUAGGAGUUGGAUGAGUAGCAUAAAUAGCAGCAAUAACAUUAUCAGCAGCAGCAUACCAUUAUGUUUCCUGGCAGCCAAAACUGUCAAUUAAGAUUUCUAUUUAGAUACAUGACACCAUAUGCGUCAAUUGGUUAAUAGCAAUAUGGCACAUAAUGAAUAAAUAUCUACUAAGUUUUGUUACAAGAACAAUUGAAAGGACGCAUGAUACCACUUUCAAUGUAAUUUUGCAACUAAGAGACAUUUUCCUCAAGUCAAAGGUUUCAGUAGUUGGAUGAAUUGCAUAAAUAAAAUCAAUAACAUUAUCAGUAACCGCAUACCAUAAGUUAUCUGGCAGCCAAAAACCGGUGAUUAAGCUUUUCAGAAUGCCAAAUAUCAGGGUCUCAUUAUUAGACAAUAGGUUUUUCUUUCGCUCUUUAGAAAACUUGUAAGAGUAAUGCAUCCGAUUCAAGCAUGCAGUUCAAGCAACCUUGGAGUUGUUGAAACCAAUAUUAGACCCCAGAAUGAGGACAAUAUUGAGAAGCAAAAAAGUAUAGGUUUUAAAAGCAAUCCAAUGUGAGGCUACCCAAUCAAGGAUCAGUACAUUAUCAACAGAUCGUAAGUAACUCGAGAUGGAGAAUCCACCUUUGGAAGAACGCUCAGAUUGGGCCUAGGACUCUCCCCAAGAUUUAAUUUACAAGAUAGUGUGAGACUAGAGAAACCUUUGAUUAAUGAACAUACAUGAUCAAACACGUCUUACUCUUCGAGACAGAAAAGCACUUUCCAAGAGAGAUCAAAUAAUACAUCUAUUUGCAUAAGAAGAAAAAAAGAUUAAAAUCCUUUAAAAAAAAAAUGGUUAAAAUAUACAAAAUAACUAAUGUCAAUAUCUUUACUUAGAAAAAUGACUAAUGAGAAUAAAAUAGAUAUUUGAAUCUAACUUGGAAAGUGAAAACUUAACUCAAAUACAUAGAAUGGUUGAAUUUGAUGCACAAGAGAGAGUUUGUUCACCAGGUAUCAAAUAAAAAUUAUUAAAAAAUAAUAUAAAAAAAAACAAUGGAUUACUCAAAUGUUCAAUUGAUUGUUAAUUUUAAUUUUUUAUUUUUGCUUUUCUUCCCAUUUCUCACAGUUGAGAAUAUUUGAGGGUUUUAUCAAUUGUUGAUGGGAAAAAACACCAUUGAUAAGAAAACUGAAUAUAAAUCAUGAACCAAAAGAUUUACCCCACUUGUUUAGAUGCCAUGAAUAUGUAGGAUAAUAAAAGAAAACAAACUUUUCUUGAUAUAUAUGGUAACAAACACAUUCUCCACGGCUUCAUAAGUGGACUAGUCCUGAGAAAAUACAGGACAACCUGUGUUGGCUAAAAUCAACUUUGCAAAUCUAUCAACGAGCUCCACAAGAAAGCAACGUCUGAUAUUUAUAGCCCCAACUUUGUCCUUCACAUAGUCUUUUCGGUUUGUCCUUCCAACCUCUAUGAUAGGAGAACCAACCAAACUACCAACAACACAUGAUUGCACCAUAUAGUGGUAUUUGGUAGCACAUGUCCCCAUUAAAUCACAGAGAGCAUCUUUUGUCUUUCAAUCUUUUAACGGUAUUGUGUUCUUAACCAUAGUGUACAAGAGAUGUAAAUUAAACCUACAAAGAUAAACAUGCAAAAUAAAAUUAAAAUAAAUCCAACUACUCACCCAACUUGAUUUACAACAAAAAAUAAGUAAUUUCCAUAUGGUCUCAUGGAGUUGAGUAUCUAACCCCUCUGUUGUUUCCAAUUCCAAGAGUGUAUAGGUUGUUUCUUCCUACAACUAGUACUGCCUAAAUCCAUUACAAGAACACUUUCAUAAAUUAGUAGCAACUUCCCAAUAUGACACACAUGCACAUACUUAUCAAAUAAAUAAAUAAAUAAGACACACAUGCACAUAAAAUGGAAGAGUACCUUAGGGUUGUUGUUGGGAAAAAAAAAGUAUAGAUUUUAAAAGCAUUUCGAUGCAAGGCCACCUGAUCAAGAAUUAGUACAUCAUCAACAUGAUUGUCAGAAACUCAAAAAAGAGAAUUCAGAUUUGGAAGAACACUGAGAUUGGACCUAAGACUAUACAACAUCUACUUUACAUUUUACAAGAAAGGGUAAGACUAGAGAAGCCAUUGAUUAUGGAAUACACAUCAAAUGCAUCUUGCUCUUCAACAUAGAAAAACACUGCAUCAAAGAUAUUAAAUGAUACUCAUACAAGUUUGAGUAAGAAGAAAAACAUAUUAAAACCACAAAAUAUGGUUAAUAUGUACAAAAAAUGUGACGACCCACCCUUGCAGGCGCCAUCCACGCAAGACAGUGUCUCUUCCCUAGUCUGAAGACUAAGAUGUAGAUACUAUCCUAUGAAAGAAAAUUAACUUGUGACAAGAUAUACUGUGUCAAAGCAAUACAAGGAUGCAUAUUUAAGGAACCAUAAAUUCAUUACUAUGUCCGAGAUAAACAGUUUUGCAUACAUAAAAGCUGGUCUUAAGGGAUCGAAAACUUGUACAUACCUAAGAAAAUGGCUACAUGCCAGUAGUCUAUCCAAAAAGAAGCAAAGGAAAAGGCAACAACAUUUAUAUGCCUUGUUGACCAUCCUCCAGAACUUGCUUGGUAUUUGGUUCUACUAGGUCCUCGUCUAAAAAAUUUAAGGAACUACAAAGUGAAUAACUCAGUGAAUGAUCAUAUAAUACAGGUUGUAGGAUGGUCAGUCCAAAGUAGAAAGAGGAGUUUUAUCAUGUAGGUAACAUUCAACGUAGAUAAUAUAUGGUAUAACAAUCAAGUAGACAUGCAACAUUGGACGACCCUAUGUCUAAUCAAUCAAACACAUGCAUAAUCCAUGGCUACAAUGCCACUCCAACUCUCGGCACAUAUGCAAUAUAACUGCUACAAUGCCCUUUCCUCCAUCAACAUGUAUCAAAUAUGCAACCGCAUGCGACAUAUGUCUCAAAUAUCAUGGUGCCUUAUAGACACAGUAUCCCUACAUCUCUCAACACACUUCUCAUACAAACUGCUCUAGUGCCCCUUUAUCUCUUGGCAUAAAAGAUUACUAGGUUAAUUGGCUACAGUGCGCCACUCCAUUUGUACGGCACGAUAUAGGUCUAGGGUAAAUUACAAUUGCAUCCAUAGUAAUAAUGUAAAAUACCAUAAUGACAACACCAAUGAUUUUUAGUGAAUGGUACGUUAAUAUGAAAUAUAUUUCCUUCAUCUAACAUCUACAAAAGAAUAGCAUAUAUGCAUAUAAAAAUAUCCAACACUCCAAUUCACAAAAUAACAUAUGUUCCCAAAAGCAUAAUAAAAUAUUAAAAUUCAAAGGAAAUUUAAAUUUCAAAAAUAGUGGGAAAAAAAAAAACUAUUUUCACCUUAUAAAUGAAUUUUUUUGAAUUUUAAGAAAAAAUCUAGUCUAAACUUCCAAAAUCAAGGCCAAUGUCAGGCUAAAAGCUUUUAGCUCAAUACCUCCAUCAUGAAGGAUGAGAUUACUUACCACACAUUCAAAUGUCAAGGUUUGUAAAUUCCAUGUGGAGUUUAAACAGAAUCUUCAAAUAAUGUGAGGAACAUAGACAUAGCUAUGAGAAGUGAAGAGGGAGAGCCACACCUCUUGCAUCAAACCAAAAUUUCUACAAAGCAUCGACAACAAAGGUGCACAGUGGCCAAUCAAGCUCUUCUCCACAGAAACACCAUAAACAAUUUCAAUCUCUGCCCUUUAGGAAACAAAAUCAAUUAUUGCAUCUUAAGAAACAUCAAGACCAAACUCAGCAUAAAAACCAUUCUCCUACAAAGCACCAUCAAAGAGAGUGGAAUCAGUCAGAACAAGUAAAAAACCACAGAUCUUAUAUUUAAUUAUAAUAAGCCUCACAUGUGUAACCUAUGUAAUAAAUAUCUAAAUGUUCAUCUAACUAGACAAUGUGAUUUUCUCAAUCAUCUAUUGUAAGAAUUUUCAUAGUUUUUCGAUUAGAUGAUAUGGAAUAAUCUGAUAACAAUACUUGAGGACAAUAGAUGAUACCAUUCUCUUGCAAGACACCAUCAAAGGGACCAAGAUCAUCAAAAGAGGUUCUAGUAAAGAAAAAUUGAAAUGAUUAAAUGCUUUCAUACUCAAUAAUUCAAACCUUGAUAUCAUACUCAAUUUUCUCAAUGUAUUAAAGAAAUGAAAAAUAAUUCCAACCUUGUAUCUCAGUUUUUCUAAAACACUUGUUCUAAUGCAUGAAAUGAUUUUAAUUCAAUGCCUACAUCAUGAAGAAUGAGAUUAUUUACCACACUUUUAAAUGCCAAGUUUCACAAAUUCCAUGCGACAUUUAAAUAGAAUCUUCAAAGAGUGUGAGGAACAAAGACAAGCUGUGAGAAGUGAGAGUUGAAACAACAUUAGCUUGAUCUAUAAUAAAAGUGUGUCUGAAAACUUUCAGUCUAGGCACAGUAAGGUCCAGCCUUGAUCUACUAGUUUGUAGAUAAGGAUCAAGCUAUAAUUUGGUAUUAGUUUCUGGAAAGAAGUAGAGAAAAUCAACAGCAUCAACUUGAUAAAGUUUACGUAUACCUUAAUAUGUGUAUACCUACUGUCUCUCUUUGAUCAAUAAAAUAAUCACACCCCGCCAUAUUAAGGAUAUAUAAAAUGUACAUAGGAAGCUCAUACAAUGGAAACAACCCUCCUACAAAAUAAUUAAAUCAGAUCAAUUCCUAUCUGACAUGCAAAAACUGAAAAACAUAAAAUUUAUAUAUAUAAAGUAAACUCCGAGCUCUAUAAUUUUUCUGCACAACACACAAAAGUUUCCCCCAAAAUUAGUUUCAACUGCUCCAACAUUUCCCUUUUUGGAAACAAAAAUGUUUCUGGCAAAACCAUUUCAUUUAUAAUACCCAACAAGCUAUAAAUAUGAAAUAACUUGAAAAUAAUGUCUGAUGCUAGGUUUUGAUUUGUCUUCUUCCAAGGGCAUGUGCUCAAAAUCCUUUUAAUCAAAUAUUUCAUUUUGGUAAUAUCUAUCCCAAAAAACCUGUUUACUGGAAGAGGAAGGCUUCUUUAUUCAACUAGUUGCUGCACAUAAUACAUCUUUUGGUGCAGAGUUUAUGCUUCUUACCUCUGAUUGUCCAAGAAAUUUGUCCUCCAACGUUUGAGUGUCUGGUGAUAAUGUAUUCUUAUGUUUUCCAGAUGCUCCACACUGCAUUUACACAACUCUCUUAGAUUAAUUUUUUCAGAAAGCGGAAGAAAGUUGAUUAAUUCCAAAUCAUUGUAUUAGCUUUUACCAGUGUCUUGAUGCAACAGUAUGGCCAUUGUUACUCUAAUCAAUGAAGGAAAACAUCCACCAAGGAAAAUGAAUUCCUUUAUAAAAUUUAAGUUUCUUUUGUACUCAUCGUGCCUUUCAACUGGGAUUGAUAUGAAUUAAGGAAAAAAGAAAAAUAAAACACCCUUGGUUGUUGGAAAAAAAUAUUAAUCUUUAUAAGAAGAAAGACAUUUAUAUUUUGAUCAACAAUAUAAUUAAAUCCCACCCUUCCAUAUGCUCUACAUCCAUUCUAUUAGAAUGUGGUAUUUGCAGAAUAAUUCCUUUGCCUUUCCCAGCAAAGAAAAUCAACUAGAGAAGACAGAAUCAUAGAUUCGGCUGUAAUGCAUCAAUUGAAUAUGGCUUAUGACAACCCAAAAGAUUGGUUUUGAAUCCAUGGAUACAGGUCCUUUUAAUACUUUUGCAGCACCAGUGCUGCUGGGAAUAAUGUUGAAGGAGGCAGCUCUGCCACCUCUCCAAUCCUAAUGGUUUCCUAAAUCCAUGGUAGUUGUGGUACGUGUUUAGCAGGAACCAGAAAGAUUCAAUGAUAGAACCAUCCCUACAAUUAAU